rnacentral:rRNA from 1 species
AACGAACGCUGGCGGCGCGUCUUAAGCAUGCAAGUCGAACGGCAAGAGAGGAGCUUGCUUCUCUCCUAGAGUGGCGGACUGGUGAGGAACACGUGGGUAAUCUACCCUUAAGAUGGGGAUAGCUGCUAGAAAUAGCAGGUAAUACCGAAUACACUCGGCAUAUCACAAGAGGUGUUGAGGAAAGGAAGCUACGGCUUCGCUUGAGGAUGAGCUUGCGUCCCAUUAGCUAGUUGGUGAGGUAAAGGCCCACCAAGGCGACGAUGGGUAUCCGGCCUGAGAGGGUGAGCGGACACAUUGGGACUGAGAUACGGCCCAAACUCCUACGGGAGGCAGCAGCUAAGAAUAUUCCGCAAUGGACGGAAGUCUGACGGAGCGACGCCGCGUGGAUGAAGAAGGCUGAAAAGUUGUAAAAUCCUUUUGUUGAUGAAGAAUAAGGGUGAGAGGGAAUGCUCAUCUGAUGACGGUAAUCGACGAAUAAGCCCCGGCUAAUUACGUG